rnacentral:rRNA from 1 species
AUUGAACGCUGGCGGCAGGCCUAACACAUGCAAGUCGAGCGGAUGAAGGGAGCUUGCUCCUGGAUUCAGCGGCGGACGGGUGAGUAAUGCCUAGGAAUCUGCCUGGUAGUGGGGGAUAACGUCCGGAAACGGGCGCUAAUACCGCAUACGUCCUGAGGGAGAAAGUGGGGGAUCUUCGGACCUCACGCUAUCAGAUGAGCCUAGGUCGGAUUAGCUAGUUGGUGGGGUAAAGGCCUACCAAGGCGACGAUCCGUAACUGGUCUGAGAGGAUGAUCAGUCAAAGGGGAAAUGAGACGGGGCCAAGACCCCAGGGGGGGGAAGAGGGGGGAAAUAGGGAAAAAGGGGGGAAGGCUUGAACAAGCCAGGCGGGGGGUGGAAAGAGGGUCUUGGAAUGAAAAGGAAGUUUAAGUGGGGGGAAAGGGAAAAAAGUAAUUACCUUCUUUUUUGAAGUUAAAAAAAAAAAAAGAAACGGAAAACCUGGGGC